UUCAUUCACAUCUAGGGUUUCUGUUUCUUCCAUCAUACACUCCUCCCCCUAUGGUUUCAUUCUUCCAGCAUACGUCUCUCUUCUCCAUAUCUAAUCUUCAUUCACAUCCUAGGGUUUCUGCAACCUCAUUCGCACCUCUCCUUCUCAUCCAAUCGCAUCCAUGAAGAUCAUGUUCAUCCCCAAGGUCAACCCAAAUCUAUAUUACCAAUCUUCUGCUCUAAUUCUCUCUGCCGUCCUUCAGCCUUACGAAAUCUUCAUCACAAAUGUAUGAUUCCAUCUCUUUGGUAACAAUCAAUCUUGGUUUUCUUGCCUUUUCUUUCGAUUUCUUACUUUUUAUUUACUGGAACCAAAUUAGGGUUUUUAUAGCCUUCAUCUACCUUACUUCACUAAGUUAUAGAUUGAUAACUUAGAUUGAUAACAAAUUGCAACCGAUCAAAGUACAUCACUUCACUAAAAUAUCCCCAUUGUUUUUUUAUAACCUUCAUCUACCUUACUUCACUUUAGCGCCUUCGUCUUCCUCCUCUGCUGCAGAUUCCAAACCCUAGGUAAGGUGUAGUUUUUAGAGGUGAAAUAAUGGUGGAGAAGACGAAAGGAAUGAAGGAAGAGGUGGUGACGAAAGAGUACACCAUUAAUCUUCACAAGCGGCUUCAUGGAUGGGUGGUGCCAAGAAGUUGGUGAUCUCAGCUCCAUAAGCCGAUUCACCCAUGUUUGUCGUAGCAGUAAAGUAAAGAUGAGUCUUGAUCUCCUAAACUGGAGAUUGCAAAAACGAUGAGUCAGAUGCCCCUCUGACCAUAGUCACCUAAUUCGCUAGAAAAGUGGCGAAUUUCGUAUUGGUACGUUUCGUACCGUACGGAAUUCGUUUUCGUAAAAUACGGUUCGAAUUCGCGAAUUCACUCCAUGAAUUCAGCGUUUCAUUCCAUUCAAUUCUGCGAAUUUCCUGCACCAAUUCACUGAAUUCCGUUUGCAAUAAUAGCGAAUUUUAUGGGUCAAUACGUAUUAGGGUUGGAUACGGCGCCAGUACCAUAGUCACCUAAUUCGCUCAAUUCAGUGCAUCAUGUUCAUCAAUUCAACGAAUGGUGAUGAAGAUGAAAAAAUUAAACCUUACCUGUGAUAAUGAUGAACCCUAGUGAAAAUGGAGAAGAAGAUGGAGUUGGAGGCUGUACGCUGCGUUUCUUUCAUCUCUUUUAACCUAAAACCUCUUUUAUUUACAUAUUUCAUCCUUUAUGUUUAUGUUAUUAUAAAUAUUAACCUAAAGCUUUUUUUAUUAAGUUACAUAUUUCAUCCUCAAAUCUCUAUAUUUUUACCUUUUCGACUUUAACCUAAAACUUUUUAAGUUGUUUACUUAUUUGGAUUUAUAAAAUUAGUAAUUUUUGUUUUAAUUUGUGUAUACCGAACGGAACGGAAUGGUACACCGAACCGAAUCAUACCGGACCGUAGCGAAAUGAACCUACCCCCUUCCGAACCGAAUUCGUCCCAACUAGCGAAUUGCGAACCCGAACCGCGUACCCGAACCGGAGCGAACCGCGAAUUAGGUGACUAUGCCUCUGACAAGUAUCUUAUCUUAAGCCAUUUAGCAAGGGCACCAAGUGUAAGAAAUAAGUUAAAUGGAAGGGAUUUAGCACUGCUAUAACUAGAUAGGCACCAAGGAAUGUAUUUGGAAGCUACACUUUUGUUCUUUCAAUAUAUGGAAUAAAGUAUUUUUGUAACGUUUUUGUUUACAUGAUUACAUUUAAUAAUAAUAUUUUAUUUUAGUAUUUACAUGUUACACGUAUUAAUUUAUUGUUUUAUCUUU
rnacentral:lncRNA from 1 species